UACGGAGGGUGCGAGCGUUAAUCGGAAUUACUGGGCGUAAAGCGCGCGUAGACGGUGUGUUAAGUCGGAUGUGAAAGCCCAGGGCUCAACCUUGGAAUUGCAUCCGAUACUGGCACGCUAGAGUGCAGUAAAGGAAGGUGGAAUUUCCGGUGUAGCGGUGAAAUGCGUAGAGAUCGGAAAAAACACCAGUGGCGGAGGCGGCCUCCUGGACUGACACUGACGCUGAGGUGCGAAAGCGUGGGGAGCAAACAGG
rnacentral:misc_RNA from 1 species